UCCCGUUUAGCUCAGUUGGUAGAGCGCGUCACUAGUAUCUGCUAUGACGAGGUCAGUCGUUCGAGUCGGCUAAUGGGAA